AUACGUAGGUGGCAAGCGUUGUCCGGAAUUAUUGGGCGUAAAGCGCAUGUAGGCGGUUUGGUAAGUCGGUCGUGAAAAUGCGGUGCUUAACGCCGUAUGGCGAUUGAAACUGCUGAACUUGAGUGCAGGAGAGGAAAGGGGAACUCCCAGUGUAGCGGUGAAAUGCGUAGAUAUUGGGAAGAACACCGGUGGCGAAGGCGCCUUUCUGGACUGUGUCUGACGCUCAGAUGCGAAAGCCAGGGUAGCGAACGGGAUUAGAUACCCCGGUAGUCCUGGCCGUAAACGAUGGGUACUAGGUGUGGGAGGUAUCGACUCCUUCCGUGCCGGAGUUAACGCAAUAAGUACCCCGCCUGGGGAGUACGGCCGCAAGGCUUAAACUCAAAUGAAUUGACGGGG
rnacentral:rRNA from 1 species